rnacentral:rRNA from 1 species
UAGGGAAUCUUCGGCAAUGGACGAAAGUCUGACCGAGCAACGCCGCGUGAGUGAAGAAGGUUUUCGGAUCGUAAAACUCUGUUGUUAGAGAAGAACAAGGACGUUAGUAACUGAACGUCCCCUGAGGGUAUCUAACAAGAAGGCAACGGCUAACUACGUGCCAGCAGCCGCGGUAAUACGUAGGUGGCAAGCGUUGUCCGGAUUUAUUGGGCGUAAAGCGAGCGCAGGCGGUUUCUUAAGUCUGAUGUGAAAGCCCCCGGCUCAACCGGGGAGGGUCAUUGGAAACUGGGAGACUUGAGUGCAGAAGAGGAGAGUGGAAUUCCAUGUGUAGCGGUGAAAUGCGUAGAUAUAUGGAGGAACACCAGUGGCGAAGGCGGCUCUCUGGUCUGUAACUGACGCUGAGGCUCGAAAGCGUGGGGAGCAAACAGG